rnacentral:lncRNA from 1 species
ACUUUUCUCAUUAUUGAAUUCUCUUUACUUUAUUACUUGCUUUACUUUGCUAUUUUUAAUUCUAGUUUAGUCAUCAAACUUCAAAACCCCCCAAUUUACUUUUAUUGUCUAUUUAUUUACUUGGUCUUGAUUAGGAAAAUAAGUAAAUAUCAAUUCCCUGUGGAUUCGAUCCUUUUGCCACUAUCUACAGUUGUAAAAUUG